GCUGCUGUAAGCGGUGACAGCCCGGGCCUGGCCUCUCGACGCUGUGGGUGACCGGGGAGACGGCGCCUUCACAGAUUACGCCGGGGCUUCGUGAUCCCGCGCGCACACAGCGACAGCGGCUCUGCAGACCCCAGCGUCGUUGCCUGCGUGAAUGAAGCAGCUUCAGUGUCCUUUGAAAAGCACACAGGAUUUCCCAAAGUCUGAAUUCUAGGAGAUACGGUUGCUUAAGAGCUGGAGGGUGUCGGGUAGGAAAGCAGAAAAGUUCAGAGAAAACGUGAAGAAUGUAAGCAGGACCCCUCGAAAGUCCGGUCAUCGGGGUGUUUGUUCGAGAACGGUGGACGUGGGUGUGGAAAGGGGCAAAAUCAACCCUGAAACGUUACCCGGGAGGCACUGGGGGCUUUGUGCAAAGGGGAGGAGCUGCCAUCCCCGCCCAUCAGCCCAUGGAUCCAGGGGGGACCCCAACCCCUCUGAGUCUCCCCGGUAAGGGGCCGGCACCUGCCGAGGUUGCAACGACCAGGCCCCCCUCCUGUAGAAUGGGACGUGGUCCCGGAGUAACUAGGGUCCCAGGAGAAAGACUGCAGCUGUGCUGGCCCCAGGGACCCGUCCGGCAGGGCUGGGGGAGCGCUCCGGAGGGGACACUGCCCCCCACCCAGGGCAUGUGGUCUUGUCCUCCUUCACGCAAAGUUGGCACGUCUGCUGCAGGAUGCUGACCCUGUCGGGGGCGGAUCAGCCGUCGGCAUCCUCACCUCCAGGAGCGCACUCGCCCCGGCUCGGGUGACGGUGCCCUUAUUUCGGGAAGGAAGACACAGGACCACCGGGGUGUGGCGCUGUUGGGGCCACGGAGGGUGGAGACGCCCCGUGUCAGGUUUCGGCAAAGCUGGGGUGGGAAUUAGGACACUGUAUAAGGAGCCCAGAAGGAGCCCCACCACCACUUGCCGGGGCCUGGAGUGCUGCCCAGGGCUGGGGGACGCCGGGGUGGGCCUGAGGGUCCCUGCCUGUCGGGAGCCCACCGGCCACGGAACUUCACGCAUCGGUGGUGCCGAUGGCCAGACUAGCCACGCCGCAAAACAGAGUCCAGAAUUGCUGUUUAACGUUUCCAAAAUGAGACGGAAUGGGGGUGUGGUGGUGCCGUGUAUGGUGGAAUGGGUGGCCCUAACAGGCCAGAAUUUAUGGCUUUUCCUGCAAAGGGUCAUGGCAACCAAGCUUCCUCGGCUUGGUCAGGACUAAAUUCGGGUGAUGAGUUUCCUGGGGUUUUUCGUAACAAAUUUCCACAAACUGGGGGGUUUAAAACAGGAAUUCAUCCUCCUCCCGGUCCUGGAGACCAGACGCCUGAGGUCAGGGUGUCCCAGGGCUGCGCUCCCUGCAGAGGCUCCAGGGGAGGGUCCUUCCCGCCUCUUCCAGCUUCUGGGGGCUCCAGGCGUCCCUGGGCUCGUGGCCGCCUCCCUCCCGUCUCUGCCUCUGUCUUCCCGGGGCUUCUCCUCUGUGUCUGGGUCUCUCCUCUUCUGUCCCUUCGAAGGACCCUGUCAUUGGAUGUAGGGCCACCCUCCUCCAGGAGGACCUCAUCUCUGACCCUUCACUGCAUCACAUCUGCAAGGACCCUGUUUCCACAUAAGGUCCCUUUCCCCAGGUGGACAGCAAGCUGGGGUCUCUUUCAUAAGGACACUAAAGCUUAUGACCACGCUCAUGACCUCAUGACGUCGCAGAGGCACCAUCUCCAUCACAAACAUCAGCCUGUAACACCCGCUCCCUCACUUUCCUUUCCUGUGAGACGGGACUGGAAGGACUGACUCUGCUGCCCUGGGGGCCCAAGACCGCCGGCAGCUCACGGGGCUGUGCUGUCCCCCUCUUUCCCCGCCCCCCACCCCCCAGGAACGCUGUCCUGGGGCUGAGUGCAAGCUGCCUCGUCUGAGGUCAGAUCGUCCAUAAGCCUUACAGUGAAAUACGACCACGCGGACCAGACAUCCAGGUCUGCCGCGUUUAUAAGCCCGGACGGCUCUACGCACCGGCUGGGGGUCCUUAUUCCUCUCCGUGCUGGUGAAGGCCCGUCCCCCUGCGUCCGUGAGCCACAGAGGCCCUGGGAAAGUGUUGUUUGUUCAUUGAGUGUAAACGUGUGCGUAAGAGAACAGUGUGUGGGGGCUCCCGGGACAUGAGGUGGUCGCAGAAGGACUGCCGCGGGGGCAGAGCUCGGGGCCUGUUGGUGGGGGGUGUUGCACGUCUGACCACGGAGGAGGCUGAGCUGAGGAUGUGGUCCCAGCCGCGGGCCCAUCAGCUCAGGUCUGCAGCUGCCCGGGGCCGGGGCGCUUUGGAUGAAGGCAGGUGGAAAUUCAUCACCACCUUGCUGGAGGCGUGGCGGAUGUCCGGGGCCGCCUGGGCCGGGUCUCCUCUGUCCCACGCUGGCCGAGGGUGAGGUCCUCGGAAUCCUCUCUGCUUCAGGAUGGAGGACCUCGGGGAUCCAGGCACAGAGGGCCCCUUCCUCCUCCAGACCCUGGGCAACGAGACGUGCCUUUGAGGUUCAGGUCCUGCCCAGGGCUGGGUGUCCUGUCGGAUCCAGGAGCUGGCGCUCAAAUGCGUUCUCCCCAGUAACGGUACGGUGGGACCUCGAGACAGUAGACAAAACACAGCGGUGGAAGCACCAUCAUUUGCAAACAGAGGCCGUGUCCCCGUAUGUAUGGCUGACUCGCCCGUCUCCCAGGGCCUGAGGGAGGUCCAGGAAGGGGCGGGGGCCCUGUUCCCUUGCCGGCUCCUCUGCUUCGCUCUACAGAUGGGGUCCGGUCCUCUUGUUGCUCCGGGAUUGCAGCCCCACCCAGUUUCCGGCUCAGCUCGAGUGUUUUACCCGUGAACGUCUGCAUUAUAAUCGGAAAUGUUAUCCAGAAGGGAAACGGCGAUUCCUACGCUUCAGGGUGAAAAAUGACGAUGAGGUCUCCCUGCGCAGCCACUGGAGAGAAGGUCCCCAGUGCCACCACCAUGCCCUGUAAGUACACGGACAUCACCGCCAUCCCCAAGCACCUCAUCCUGUCCACCUCUGUGAAGACCCUAUUUCCAAAUACAGUCUCAUGAUGGGGUCCUGGGGGUAAGGACUUCAACAUACCUCAUUUGGGGUUCACAACCCACCCGUGACAGUUUUGUUUUGUUUUGUUUUUUUUCUGUAAAAAAUAAACGUCAAGGGAGUUCAGAGCCGUGGGGGGCACCUCCGGACAUGUGGGUGGUUUUGAGUGUAGGUUUGUGGAUUACACGGGUCUCUGCCUUCAUGCCAGGGUGGCGUGUAAUAUCCUUCGUUUUGCUUUUUAAGAGAAUCACCCCAAGUUUACCAAUUUAUGUGUUUGGACAGGAGAUCUUUAUGGCACAGGUUUGAAAAGCAACAAGAUCCUGAACGAUAAAAAAAACUGCUUUCCGUGAAGGGUUAACUUUCUUGGCAGUGAUCAUAAUUGCUUUGGGGUUUCCCACAGUUUCUUAAACGUUACAUUAGCAGAUGUUAUACAAUUAACCGUAGCUGGAAAAGGAUAUCAAUUUACACAUCACUCAAAUAGCAAAUGAUUUUUUUUCUACAGUCUUACGUUCUGUUUUUCCCAUGCUCUGUGUCUUGAGAUGUAAUAGGACAUGAUUGACGUUUACGUAGAAACUUAAUUUUGUACAAGCCUGCCAGAGCAUUUCACCAGUUUUGAGGUUUUCUUUACUUUUUUGAGUUUAUUACAAGUAGAAAUAACACUGGUACUUUUUUGGCUAUACCUUGCCCAGCAACGAAAGGGAUGGACUUUUUAAAAGCAUUUAAUUGAAAGGAAUGAAACUUCCCUUAUUGAAGUUAAAAAAUCCCAAUGUUACAAAACAUUCCACCUGCUUUAUUUAUUGAACCUUGGCGGGUGUUAGCGAACAUCGUUAGAAUAUGACCCAGAGCCCGUGGAUGUUAACUUUGACCCUGGAUGCCGCAGACCUUUCAUUACGAUCAGACGGAGAUAAAGUCAGCAAUUGUCUCUAAUUAUUCUGCAGUUCAGGAUCUGGGUGCCCCCGGUUGCACAAAUUCACACACAUCUCACACCAAGUACCUAGUUUCUGGGCAUAGGAAGCAUCCAGCUGAAACUAAUUACACAGAGGAAGCGAGGUCCAUGAGAUGGGCCAGGUCUGCACGUGCGGCUGGUCAACUAACGCUGUUUAUCCUUUGUUGAUUGUGGUAACAUAUACGUAACAUAACAUUUUCUAUUUUAACUGUUUUUGGGGGGCCAUGCUGCACGGGUUGCGGGAGCUUAGUUCCCCGAGCAGGGAUUGGACCUGGGCCCAUGGCAGUGAAAGUGCUGAGUCCUAACCACUGGACCGGCACGGAAUUCCCUGGUUUUUAACUAUUUUAAGUGCACAGCUCCAGUACAUUCACGUUGUACAACCGUCCCCACCGUCCGUCUCCAGAACUUUCUCAUCUUCCCAAACCGAGACUCUGUCCCCUUGGAACACUCACUCCCCAUCUCCCUCCCGCAGCCCCUGGACCCACCCUCCUGCUCUCUGCCUCUAUGGAUUUCACUCCUCUGGGGAGCUCCUCUUGGUGGACUCACACAGUAUUUGCCCUUCUGUGUCUGGCUUAUUUCACUGAGUGUAAUGGCCUUAAGGUCCGUCCACGUGGUAGCCUGUGUCAGAGCUUCACUCCUUUCUAAUGGCUGAGUCAUAAUCCACUGUGUGCAUGGACCCCAUCUCGUGUAUCCAUGUGUCCAUCCAUCCGUCCAUCCAUGGACUUGGGGUAUGUUGACCUCUUAGCCGUUUGUGAAUAAUGCUACUGUGAACCUGGGUGUACAGCUGUCUCAUUGAGUCCCUGCUUUCCAUGAUGUGGCGGGGCAGCGGAGUUCCGGAGGAGAAUUUCUGGAUGAUAUGCGAAUUCAACGUUUAGUAUUUUGAGGAACCGCCGUACUGUUUUCCAACGUGGCAGCUCCAUUGCACAUUCCCACCGUCGGUAACCCUGGGUCCCCCUCUCUCCACAUCCUCACCAGCCCCGAAAUUCUACUUCAUGAUCAUCGCCGUCCUGAUGGGUGUGAGGUGAUGUCUCACUGGGGCGGGGGGGGGUUACCUUUUCUGCAGGCAAAAGGGAACGCCCGGCUGGGGAAGAGCCGGCAUCUACCCACAGACCCAGACGCUGGAACUUAGGUCUGUAGACCACGUGCGCUUGUGCCAGUGUCUGAUUCUGCCCUGGUGCUCUUGACCUCUGGCCUCGGCCCCUAGCUUAUCUUGAACGCUCUGCUUUACCUGACCAGCUGCCCAUCCAUCUGGUAUCAAAUGUCCACCGAAUAAAGCACCGUGCCUGACACAGAGAAGAAGCCGCUCCCCAACACAGCGUGGGUUCAGUGAGGUCCGAAGAGACCCUCCUUCCCGGACAUCUUUGUCCGUGCGGACGCCAGCGCCCACAGGGUGGUUUUAGGAGGAAAGCUGUGACUACCGCCAAGACUGAGCUCAAACCCGCUGCCCCCCACAUCUGAGCGUCCUCUGUGCGGGCAGGGAGGCCAACACAGGAGCCAGCGCAGAGGGGCCCCGAACGCCCAGCAAGCAGACAACCCGGGGCUGGCCGUGGCCGCCGAGGCUACAGGGCCCUCCAGGGACACCGCACGCCCUGACACUAGGCAGGGUCAGGACGCCCGGCUGGCCCCUGUGACGCAGCCGUCUCAACCAGAGCGGAGCAAACACGGUCAGUCCUGCUCCUGGCCACGUUCCCGACAGCCCGAAUCCGUGCCCUUUCUCUAGUGGCCUUGGGGCUGCCGGCCAGCGGUGAGAUCUCGCUUCUGGACCAAUAUCGCGGCCAGCCCGGUGCACAGGGUGCCUCCCGUAUCACAGGGCUGUGUUUAAGGAGACAGCUUCCUUCCCCGGGCUCCGCCCACAUCUCCAGGUGCCCAGGCCGCCUCCACACCCAGGACGGAUGCCCUGGGCUUCCCCAAAGAAGGAAGUGUGUCUGCGGCCACUGGGCGGGGAGCCUGCCCGGCACAGACACAGUACACGGUGGGGCCGGGGCGCCUCGCCGGGGAUUCACCUGUGUGGGCACCAGGGGCUGUGCGGACAGGUGGCCUGGGCUUCUGACCGCGGCUGCAGCGCCUGCUGGGUCUGCUGUGCGGGCGGUAAAGGGGUUAUUGUGCCUGGAGAGGCUCCCUCUUGCUGGACCCGUCAUCUCCCGGAUCCAGGUGGACGCUCGGUACCUGCCCCGGAGAGCGGGCCUCCUUUCUUCCUGCAGAGGCUCUGGAGGGGUCCAGCUCUGCCCCUCCAGGCCCGGCUGUCCUCCAGACCAAGACAGAAGGAAAGUUCCUCUUGGCUUUUGCAGAUCAUGAGAUGCUGGCCUCUGCUUGCAAAAGCAAUCCGGACAGGCUCCUGGUAAAAAAAAAUUCCAGAAAACAAUAAAGGAGAAAAGAAUUGAGUCUUAAAAAAAGUAAAGGCGAAAAUAACGCCAGCACCUUGAGAGAGUUUUGGGUACGUACUUUGGUGUCUUUCGCUCUGUUUUGUUUUGUUUUUUCCAUGUGUUUCCUUCCAUUUUUUUCCCCCUAAUCAAUGAUAUGGGCAUUCACAUUGAUCCUUCUCUCCCCCAGGGAGAGAUAACACACAUCUGAUAACACACAUAUCUGUUCCCCCCAGGGAACAGAUAACACACAUCUCGUCUUAUAAGUUAGGGAUCCCAUCAGAUUUACAGCAGUUGCUUUUAUAUGCAGAGUUUUUUUUCCAGUUAAAUUGUGUGAUGAACAGUCUUCUUGCCAAGAAAAACCUCUGGAAAUGUCUUUUCUUUUUCCAAGUGAGGAUGCUAUUCUGUGGUGUGGCUCCUCCAUGGUUGAUUCAGCCAUUUCCUGGAUGUCCGAGCGUUUCGCUUGUUUCCAAAUUCAACACGAGAAAUUUCUCAGCGAGGACGGUGCCCACGUACGAACCCUUGGGCACAGCUCUGAUUUAUGACUCUGGGAGCAGAUCCUGGAAGGAAGGGGGUGGCUGAACUUUCUCGAGUCUUUGAUACCCAAAUGCUGAAUUGCUUUCCCAGAAGGCUUCACCAUAGCAUGAAAGAGCCGUCCUCUGCUGUGUCAUCGGUUCCCCCAAUGCCUGCCAACCUCACCGUUGAAAAUGGCUCUGUGGGAGUUUCCAGUGGCUGCUGUCAUGAAGGCCCAGACUGAGGGCCUAAAACCGCAGGCAUCCAUCCUCCCCAGCCCUGGAGACCAGACGCCUGAGGUCAGGGUGUCCCAGGGCCGAGGUCCCUCCAGAGGCUCCAGGGGAGGGUCCUUCCCGCCUCUUCCAGCUUCUGGGGGCUCCAGGCAUCCCUGGGCUUGUGGCCGCCUCCCUCCCGUCUCUGCCUCUGUCUUCCCGGGGCUUCUCCUCUGUGUCUGUGUCUCUCCUCUUCUGUCUCUUAGAAGGACCCUGUCAUUGGCUGUAGGGCCACCCUCCUCCAGGAGGACCUCAUCUCAGACCCUUCACUGCAUCACAUCUGCAAGGACCCCAUUUCCAAAUAAGACCCCAUUUGUAGGUUCUGGGGGUCAGGAUGUGGACACGUCUUUAUUGGGGCACACCAUAGAGCCUAUAACACCGUUUUUUUUACUGUUUUAUUUUGCAUUUUUGGGGGGACCACCAGGGGUGUAAACUCACCUCAUUUUUCUGUUUUUCCCUCUAAAACGUCUGUACGUGUCUGUAUCUCUUUCUCUGCCACGAGUGGCUGUUUGCUUAUUCGUUCCCAAGACCUUUGGUAACAAACCUCCCUCACUUUAUUAUUUGCCUUGUGAAUUUUCUUCACAUCUGUGCAUCUAAAGUUUCUGUGUCGCCGAAUUCUGCAAACUGAUAUUUUAAGGUUUUUCAUAACGGGGAGGCCUUCCUGGUCCUGGAAUCUCGGAAACACUUGUGUGUUUCCUCCACAUUCUUUUCAUGCUUCUGCUUUGCCGAUCCACACGGGAUCCAUGGUGGAGUCUU